rnacentral:rRNA from 1 species
AGAGUUUGAUCCUGGCUCAGGACGAACGCUGGCGGCGUGCUUAACACAUGCAAGUCGUACGAGGUUAUCGAGGUGCUUGCACUUCGGUGCCUAGUGGCGAACGGGUGCGUAACACGUGAGCAACCUGCCCUGCGGCGGGGGAUAGCCGGCCUAACGGCCGGGUAAUACCGCGUACGACCCAGUGCCCGCAUGAGCGCUGGGUGAAAGCGGCCGCAAGGUCGCACCGCAGGAGGGGCUCGCGGCCUAUCAGCUUGUUGGUGAGGUAACGGCUCACCAAGGCAACGACGGGUAGCUGGUCUGAGAGGAUGGCCAGCCACAUUGGGACUGAGAUACGGCCCAGACUCCUACGGGAGGCAGCAGUGGGGAAUAUUGCGCAAUGGCCGCAAGGCUGACGCAGCGACGCCGCGUGUGGGAUGAAGGCUUUCGGGUCGUAAACCACUGUCAGAGGGGACGAAUACCUGGCCUCGAAUAGGGGACCAGGGGUGACGGUACCCUCAGAGGAAGCACCGGCUAACUCCGUGCCAGCAGCCGCGGUAAUACGGAGGGUGCUAGCGUUGUCCGGAAUCACUGGGCGUAGAGCGCGCGUAGGCGGCCACUUAAGUCAUUUGUG